rnacentral:lncRNA from 1 species
GGCUGUGGACUCCUUCAGAGAUGCUCUAAGAUGUACUCUGAGAAAAUGAUUAGGACUGCAAACCUCCAAUCACUUGUUAAGAAAUAUGUGCAAGCAGCUUUGAAAAAAAUUCUGUAUAACUCUGAAACUAUUCUGGAAACACUGGAGCCUGGAGAGCUUUUUUAGAAUAGAAUUCUGUAUUGCCACAGGUGCACAGUUUAUUGGGUAGUCCUAAAAAACCAGAUGUUUAGCAGUAUUUUUCAGGGUUGUGUUUCAAAGCUGCUUCUGCUUAUCCCUGCUGACACCAUUACCUUCCCAAAAUCUCAUGGUGCUUUGAUCAAAAACUAAAGAAAUCAGGUAAAAUUUCAGCUGGUCCACAUAUACUCAAGGGGCUAUAUUUUGUCAACUACUUAGAAGAGACUGUGAUCUGCACAGCACAACAGAACAGAGAUAUAUGAGCCAUAUUUACCUUAUCUGAAGAUAGAAGAAAUAACAGCCUUAUCUAUAUAAUCAGUCAUAAAUCAUAAUCUUCAAAUUUGCAGUCAUCAAGACUCAUUAAUUAUAUCUGACAUUAUUUCUGCACUUUGUAGCUUCUUUUCCUCAACACAGAACAAAGCAAAUCCCAUUUACAACUGGCCUUUCUUCCUGCCUUAGAAGGAAUUAAACACCCAGCUACUUACAGUUCAAUAAAAUCUUCAAAUCCCGUGUGAACAAAAUGAACAAAGCUCAUAAGCACAUGUUCUCUCCUACAGACACCAGUGGGAUGGGAGGAUGUGCCUGGAAGGUUUGGGUGAAAAUGGGAAUAUCUGUGCUUGUAAAGCUAUUCCAGGCUAUGGAUAGCAGGGUUAGUUGUAGAGGAUCUCAGCAAAGGUACUGGUGUGAUUUUGAAAAUGAUUUGGUCGUGCUGGUGUAUGUUACUUGAAAGCUUUGUUUCAACACAGAAGGGAUGAGCUCCAGCACGGGGCUGUGCUGACACAGCUCUGAUCUGUGCUUGCAAACUGCUCUGUCUCCUCAGCACCACAGCACUACUCAGUGUAGAAAAUCCCUCCGCAAGGCUGUAGGUUGGCACAGAUUUGCAAUUCAGUAAGUAAAUUCCCUUGCACACUAUAGGAUGAAUCCAAGUAAACUAUGCUUAGACAGUGAAGUUUCUUCCACUUUAUGCCCUGAUUUUUCUAUUUACAGCAUUUUCAAACUUGCACCAAAAGCCAAGGACUGCAACUAGAGUGGUAAGUAGCAAACCCGUGGCGAUGAAGCAAAGAGGAUGUUUUGGGACUUUCCUGUCAAGCCUUGAGCAGUUCAGAGUUACUCCAGGGAAGUGCCAGUUCUGGAAAGCCCCUGAGAAUAUCUGCAGGAGCCUUCACCUUCACAAAGUGGUGGGGAAAAGCUGCUGUGGGCUGUGAUAGAGCACCGACUGCAAGCAGCAAUGACUGCGUGAUGAGACUGAACUCUUCUUGCUCCUCCAGCUCAAGGGAACCUUGAAAAUCUCAGGGCAAGACUUUCCACUCUGCAUCGGUGAUUAUGCUCUUAAAAUGCUGUGGAUUUGGACACAGAUAAGCAAUCAUGAGAAGAAUGUGUUGCCUUGGCUUCUUCCUUCCUGCGGCUCAGUUCCUUCACAUCCAGUUCUCCCAAAUCACACAGAGCAAGGACAUCUGUAGGAUCAAAGCAAAAGGAUUGUGCCCUGGAUCCUGAACUCAGUAUUUUUGUAUUCCUUUGGAAUCAGAUGGAUGCUGGAUGUCUUCAGUUGAAGAGUAGAAGAGAUUGCAAUUGUUCUGAAUGAAAAUGGCCAAUGACAGCACAGUAUCACACAGUGGAUAACUUCCAGAAUCGAGAUGACCCCCUUGUCUAUCGCGGAACAAGAAGGAUUAUGGGAUUCCAAUUUAAUGUGAUAAAAUGUCAUCACAAACAUGAAAUUUUAAAGCCAUCAUUCAAUAAUUAUAAUUAGCCUAUGUCAAACUGCUCUGAAUACUAAAGCAACUAUAAAAGGUGAAAAUUGUCUUAAUUAGCAAAGAUGCAGAAAAUGUGUGAGACUGACUCACGUCAGGGAAGGCUCCAAUUAACCUGGCCCAGAUUGAGAUAAUUAAGAGGGCAGCUUCAAUUGUGUAAAGAAUGAAAAACUUCUGGUGUGGUAUGAGGUCUUGUAUUUUUCCAUUCCUGGGCCUGUUGUUCAGUGAUACCUUCAGGCACAUCAUCUGUUUACAUAAAAUUGUUUCCUGAGCUGGCUGCUGAAAACCAGACUUACAUCCAGCAAGCCCUGAGGAUACUCUUCAAACCCUUUUGGUUAUUAACUCUUUCACUGAGUAUUACCUGUUCAGCAAGCUUUCUGCCUGGAUGCUACACACACCCAUUGAAGCUCUUGUUCAAUACUAUUUUGGAGAAGUCUAGACCAGAAGGAUUGGUAAAAUUACUACCCCAGACUAAUAAAAAGCAAGAAACCAUUUCUUUCUAUAUAGGGGAAUCUUGUGGACACCACCUCAUAGUGGGGCUCUGGUCAUUGCAUUGUAGCAGAAAAACUGCUCAGCCUGGACUGGUCUACACCUAAAAAAUUCUGUGGCUGCUUCUCAUUGAAGAAGUGAAUGGUCUUUAAACUGUCAAUUCCCAAGGGAAGAUUGUGCAAACUCCUUCAGAUCCAGAUCACAGGAAUUCUGUUCUGACCUGUCCUGCUGAUCACUGUACAAACCCAGGGUGCUGCAAUGGGUGUGGGAGACAAAGGUUCGUUUAGUUUUAAGAGAAAUAGAAAAGUUACCGCUGAUAAUGAGGGAAACAGGGGUUUCUGCAUAAGCCAUUCACUCAGGCACUUACUCAGCUUCUCAUAAAUAUUUUGUUUGUAUCCCAUGCUCUAAAACUCAGAAAUAUCUGUGUGAGCUGCAGCCAUAUAUCUGAGAUACAUGCUAGAAGAAGCAUCAAGUAAAGGAGAAACAGAGAAAAAGCAUCAAUACCACUGCAUCAUUCCCAAGUGAAAUGUAAAUUGCAGCUAGAAUCCAAAAGUGGUCAUGAAUGCAACAGCAGAGUAAAAUAUGCUCAAACUUUUCCACUCUCUCCUAUUUUUAUAGGUACUGGAAUCAGCCAAAAUACAGGUCAGUUCUUGGCAGGUGAUGGGUUCUUACAGCACCAAUAAUACCUCUGCAACACUCAAUUUGCUGUGGGAAUCUGGGCCAAUCCUUUGACUUAAGGAACAUACAUUUCUUUUGUUGCACCAUGAGCUCACAGAAGCUUCAGUGCUACCAGUCCUUUGUCUGUCUUUGUGCUGCCAGGAAGGUGCCACCUGACUUUCACACUAUUCAGGGAUUUCAGAGGUACAUGGGAGAGAACCAGGAACUCAGAAGAGAUCUAAGAUCCAUCCAUCAAGCCACCACCAAAAGCCAGUACUGAGAGUACAAGGGAGAUGUUUGCAUAACAACAGCAAUGAAUAUGGAUUUUUUUUUUGGCAGAACUAAAACUAAAAUGUCAAUCUGUAUUAAAAAUAACUUAAUUGAAACCCUUAUUAACUGUGAUACUUUAGUAGGUCCAAAGUUACAUAUUUGUGUGCUUUUUUUCAUAUUUAAGUCCAUGCUACUUAUAUUAUUUCUCACAUGAAAUUGAUAUACAUUUGCUUUUAGUUUUGAAAAAACUACAAAUAAAAUUAACUGGAACUAUACUAUUAUUACUUUUAGACAAGAACUUGCUAAAAUUCAGGAAUGAGAACUGCAGUUUUCGGAGCAAAUUGAGCAGACCAGAAAUAAAAUGCUACAGAAAUCUAGAAUACAGGUUGGAACAACUGUGUUUAUCACUGGAGGGCAGCAUAAGUACCAAUAUAAGCUAAAAUAGCAAAACCCCAGUAUUUUCAGCUGUUAUUUUAUAUGCCAGGACAGCAAUUGCUGCUUCUUUAUAGUGGCUAGUGACAAACAAGAGAUGCUGCUGCCAGCAGGUCCGACCUGCCUCUGAAAGACAGAUUUGUUGUCAUUAAUUUUACUUUAUUGUUGUAAUUUCCCAGACCAAACCCGGGGAGCUCAGCAGUUUUAGGGCCUUGCUAGUUGAAAUAAGUUUCUAAUUGUUUUAUUUGCAACAUGCACAGAAAACUUCAUCAACAUUUUCUAUGUCCUUGGCAAUGAAGAGGAAAAAUUCAUGCCACAGUUCUAGGCUACCUUUUCUGAUUCAUAACAAUUUAGGGAGUUUUUGAACUAUUCCUUGGAAUACAGUGAAAUAACCCUUUUCCUUCCCUAGGAUACUUCUGUAACUUUGGAUCAAAUCUGCAUCCUCCCUCAUAAAAAUGAAACUAGCACAGAAUCAACACAAGCAGAAAUGGCAGGACCUAGCUCAGGCAAGAAGAAAUAGAAUUACUGAAUAAUGGAAUGGUUUAGGUAGGAGAGACCUUAAAAAUCACCUCAUUCCACCCUCCCUGCCAUGGGCAGGGACACCUUUCACUAGACCAGGUUGCUUCAAGCCCCAUGCAACCUGGCCUUGAGACAUCACUGCCUCUCUGCUUCAUUCACCUUGACAGACAUCAACACCUUCUCCCAAAUAAAGCUUAGUAGCUAUGAUGUAAUAGAGGAAAAUUAUUUUUCCCCUUGAAAUAAAUCUAUUAGAAGAAGAAUAGAGAUUUUCUACUUUUUACCCACCUAGUUAAAUGGAACAAAAAUGGUUCAGGUUGGAAAGGACAACUGGAGGUUAUCUAGUCCAACUCCCCUCAGUCAGGGUCCCUUGAAGCCUCUUACUCAGGAUCGUGUUCAGAUGACUUUGGAGUAUCUCCAGACAGAGAUUCCAAAACCUCUCUCGGCAAUCUGUUCCAGUGCCCAAUCACCCUUACAGCUAAUAAUUUCUUCUUCACAUUCAGGUGAAAAUUGCUGUGUUGUGUUUUCUGCUGUUUCAUUUGAAAGGAAACCAGGCACAUAAUCCUAGCCCAGUAUGUUCCCUCUAGACGGGUGCCACAGACCAGGACUUCAGGAUACAGACAGAGACUUGAAGGCAAAGCCCAAAUAUUCACAUUUGCACUGGGUGGAGGAAUGUGAAUGAAUAUGUGAAUGAUUUAAUGUGUCCUUAGAAGCUUGCUGUAAACUGCAGGGUCUGAGGGAUGUUCAUGGUACUUUUACUAUUGAGAGCAAGAGAAGAGGUAGCACAGAGGCAGGGACAGAUCUCUGAGCCAUGGGCAGCUCUGGGUGCAAUGUGGGCAGAUCUCCUUCGUCUUCCCAGAGACGGUCAAGAAAUCCUGGGAAGGAUUGUCCCAUGCCUUUGACUUGGAAGGACUUGAAAUUCCAACUCUACCCCUGUGGGGAGAGGAGCUGAGAGCUGCUGGGGCUGUGGGGAGAGGAGAGAAGGCUGGAUAGAAAGCAAGAGGAAGCUUGGUGAGAAAGGAUCCACUGGCAGGAGUGUGUGGGGAGGAAUGGAACUGGCUUGUGCUCUGUGCAGGCUGUUGUGUGGCCAGCUCUGUCUGGGAAAUCGAAACAUUUGGUUGCAAUUGAAACAUUUGGUUGUAUUUCACACAGCUCCAGGGCACCUGUAAAUUGCCUAUCUGCAGAUAAUCAGUGAGGGACCAUAUGCCAGCUCAGGGCUGCCAAUUUUCUGGCUCUGACCCACUCUUCCCAAGUCCUGAAAUGCCCUGUACCUCUUGUGAGGACGGAGGUGCCAGUUCCUGCUGCUGCCUAACAUCUUAGCUCCACAUUUUCUCUCAAAAGAUCCCUGUUCAUUUCCUCUAAAUCUAAAUGUAAGGCAACAGGCACCUGACAAAAUGGUACUGUAAUAUGGAUUAAUACUGAAUAUCUUUCUAUUGAAGAAAUGGGAAAUCCUAAUAUUUACGAGUAACAUAUUUUAUUGAAGAUUUCAGUCUUUAAAAGAUCAGUAUUUGGUAUAGAAUUUCAAGCUCAGUAAAAGGCUGUUAUACAAAUAUGGUCAUGGUCGAAUCUUGAAAAAUGUUAACAGUUUUCAGCAGCAAGGGAGCUUUACAAGGGAGGAAAAUCAAUAUUGACUUAUGCUAUUUAUCCGUAGCAUAGUAAAGUUGCCUACACC